UGGGAAACUGCCCGAUGGAGGGGAUAACUACUGGAAACGGUAGCUAAUACCGCAUAACGUCGCAAGACCAAAGAGGGGACCUUCGGGCCUCUUGCCAUCGGAUGUGCCCAGAUGGGAUUAGCUAGUAGGUGGGGUAACGGCUCACCUAGGCGACGAUCCCUAGCUGGUCUGAGAGGAUGACCAGCCACACUGGAACUGAGACACGGUCCAG
rnacentral:rRNA from 1 species